UGUGCAUAUAGCAUAUGUGUAUAGUUACAUGUGUAUAUAGCAUUAGGUACUCGCAGUUACAUGUGUAUAUAGCAUUAGGUACUCGCAGUUACAUGUGUAUAUAGCAUUAGGUACUCGCAGUUACAUGUGUAUAUAGCAUUAGGUACUCGCAGUUACAUGUGUAUAUAGCAUUAGGUACUCGCAGUUACAUGUGUAUAUAGCAUUAGGUACUCGCAGUUACAUGUGUAUAUAGCAUUAGGUACUCGCAGUUACAUGUGUUUAUAGCAUUAGGUACUCGCAGUUACAUGUGUAUAUAGCAUUAGGUACUCGCAGUAACAUGUGUAUAUAACAUAGGUACUCGCAGUUACAUGUGUAUACAGCAUUAGGUACUCGCAGUUACAUGUGUAUAUAACAUUAGGUACUCGCAGUUACAUGUGUAUAUAGCAUAGGUACUCACAGUUACAUGUGUAUAUAGCAUUAGGUACUCGCAGUUACAUGUGUAUAUAGCAUUAGGUACUCGCAGUUACAUGUGUAUAUAGCAUUAGCGACUCGCAGUAACAUGUGUAUAUAGCAUUAGGUACUCGCAGUUACAUGUGUAUAUAGCAUUAGGUACUCGCAGUAACAUGUGUAUAUAGCAUUAGUACUCGCAGUUACAUGUGUAUAUAGCAUUAGGUACUCGCAGUUACAUGUGUAUAUAGCAUUAGGUACUCGCAGUUACAUGCGUAUAUAGCAUUAGGUACUCGCAGUUACAUGUGUAUAUAUCAUUAGGUACUCGCAGUUACAUGUAUAUAUAGCAUUAGGUACUCGCAGUUACAUGUGUAUAUAGCAUUAGGUACGCGCAGUUACAUGUGUAUAUAGCAUUAGGUACUCGCAGUUACAUGCGUAUAUAGCAUAAGGUACUCGCAGUUACAUGUGUAUAUAGCAUAUGUGUAUAGUUACAUAUGUAUAUAGCAUAUGUGUAUGUUUGCUUCGUGCCAUGUACUAGUUAAAUUGGGCAAAUAAAGAGAAUCGGCAUCAAUCUUUUAUACUUGUAUUUGUGCAUAUACGGAGUGAUUAUAAAAAUAAUAACUAUCUCUAAUUGGACAUACUUUACUCCUUUGCGUUCUCGAUAUGUACAUGUUUUUAAACGUGUUUAUUCGUUGUAUUACUUUGUUUAACCUGUUAGUGUCCGUUUCAACGGAUAUUUUAUGUAUAUGUUUGAUGGUUUUGUAUGUUCCCGUAUGAUUGCAUAAUUCAUAAGCGACAUGUCUAUGUACACAUGACGCUUGUUUUAUAGAUCAUGUUGGUGUAAGUAUACUUGAAUGGGUAUCACAUUUCUUAAAAGAUGACAUUUGAAACUUAUAAUUUCAUCUUUAACAAUACACACAUUUCACUUGUACACCCUGCGCGCAAUAAAUAGAAUAGCGCACCUAACAAAAAUAAAACAAAUUGCGGAUAUGUCUUCAUUUAUAAGAAAUGCACUGAUACUGUGGUAAACACGAGCAUUUUUUUUUCAUUUUGCUUAAUCCAUUUAUGCCUAGCGUCUAGAAAAAAGGCCUUGGCAAACAGCGUAGACCCAGAUGAGACGACGCAUGAUGCGGCGUCUCAUUAGGGUCUGCGCUGUUUGCUCAAAGGAAUUUCUGUAAGAAAUAUUCUAAAUAUUGAAAUAAAUAUACUAGAUAUCCCUAAUUUUGGAAAUAAACUGAUCCACUUUAGAAGGAUGGGAGAGUCCACUAGGCAUAAAUGGGUUAAUGUUCCGAAAAAGAUACAUGCACACAUAUCAGUAAAAUAAACAUAGCUUACGUUUGAAGCCGUAAUUUUUUAAACGAAGAUAAUGUUUUAUUUUCAAUUUAUUUCAAUUUAGGGUGGAUUUUAACUUAUGUUCGAUGCAGAAGGAACGAUACUGACUGUCGUUUUUUUUAUU